CCUACGGGAGGCAGCAGUGGGGAAUAUUGCACAAUGGGGGAAACCCUGAUGCAGCGACGCCGCGUGAGGGAGGAAGUUUUUCGGUAUGUAAAGCUCUAUCAGCAGGGAAGAAAAUGACGGUAACUAGACAAGAAGCCCCGGCUAACUACGUGCCAGCAGCCGCGGUAAUACGUAGGGGGCAAGCGUUAGCCGGAUUUACUGGGGGGAAAGGGAGCGCAGGCGGCGUGGCAAGUCAGAUGUGAAAACCCGGGGCCCAACCUCGGGAGUGCAUUUGAAACUGGCAUGCUGGAGUGCCGGAGAGGUAAGCGGAAUUCCAGGUGUAGCGGUGAAAUGCGUAGAUAUUAGGAGGAACACCAGUGGCGAAGGCGACUUACUGGAAGGUAACUGACGCUGAGGCUCGAAAGCGUGGGGAGCAAACAGGAUUAGAUACCCCUGUAGUC
rnacentral:rRNA from 1 species